rnacentral:rRNA from 1 species
UCCACGCCCUAAACGAUGUAUGCUUGGUGUUGGGAGUUCUGCUCUCAGUGCCGGAGGUAACCCGUUAAGCAUACCACCUGGGGAGUACGAUCGCAAGGUUGAAACUCAAAAGGAAUUGGACGGGGGCCCGCACAAGCGGUGGAUCAUGUGGUUUAAUUCGAUGCAACGCGAAGAACCUUACCCGGG